rnacentral:rRNA from 1 species
CCUACGGGUGGCAGCAGUGGGGAAUAUUGCACAAUGGGCGCAAGCCUGAUGCAGCGACGCCGCGUGCGGGAUGACGGCCUUCGGGUUGUAAACCGCUUUUGAUCGGGAGCAAGCCUUCGGGUGAGUGUACCUUUCGAAUAAGCACCGGCUAACUACGUGCCAGCAGCCGCGGUAAUACGUAGGGUGCAAGCGUUAUCCGGAAUUAUUGGGCGUAAAGGGCUCGUAGGCGGUUCGUCGCGUCCGGUGUGAAAGUCCAUCGCUUAACGGUGGAUCUGCGCCGGGUACGGGCGGGCUGGAGUGCGGUAGGGGAGACUGGAAUUCCCGGUGUAACGGUGGAAUGUGUAGAUAUCGGGAAGAACACCAAUGGCGAAGGCAGGUCUCUGGGCCGUUACUGACGCUGAGGAGCGAAAGCGUGGGGAGCGAACAGGAUUAGAUACCCGUGUAGUC